GACGUAGGGAGCAAGCGUUGUCCGGAUUUACUGGGCGUAAAGCGCGCGUAGGCGGUCCGUUAAGUGUGAAGUGAAAUCUCUAGCGCUCAACGCAGAAACUGCUUUACAUACUGGCGGACUGGAGGGAUGAAGAGGUAUGUGGAAUUCCCGGUGUAACGGUGAAAUGUGUUGAUAUCGGGAGGAACACCCAUGGCGAAGGCAGCAUACUGGUCAUCUCCUGACGCUGAGGUGCGAAAGCGUGGGUAGCAAACAGG
rnacentral:rRNA from 1 species